rnacentral:sRNA from 1 species
GUGAGGUUUGGAGACUUGAAGGAGGACAAGGUGACGCGCCAUGAUGGAGCCAGCUCGGACGGGCACCUGGCACACAUCUUCAGACAUGCGGCCAAGGAGCUGUUCAACGAGGAUGUGGAGGAGAAACAAAGACUUCCAAGAGGUCACCCUUGAGAAGAAUGGAGAGGUGCUGUUACGCUUUGCUGCAGCCUAUGGCUUUCGAAACAUCCAGAACAUGAUCCUGAAGCUUAAGAAGGGCAAAUUCCCAUACCACUUUGUGGAGGUCCUCGCCUGUGCUGGAGGAUGCUUAAAUGGCAGAGGCCAAGCCCAGACUCCAGACGGACAUGCGGAUAAGGCCCUGCUGCGGCAGAUGGAAGGCAUUUACGCUGACAUCCCUGUGCGGCGUCCGGAGUCCAGUGCACACGUGCAGGAGCUGUACCAGGAGUGGCUGGAGGGGAUCAACUCCCCCAAGGCCCGAGAGGUGCUGCAUACCACGUACCAGAGCCAGGAGCGCGGCGCACACAGCCUGGACAUCAAGUGGUGAAGUCAGGCCAGGGCCUUCCAGCUGCUCUUGGGGCCAGAGCCAAGAACCUCUCAGUAGAGGGAGGGGCUGCCCUGAGUGAAGUAUUAAAGACACUUAAGAAAA